rnacentral:misc_RNA from 1 species
GAUGAAGAACGCAGCGAAAUGCGAUACGUAAUGUGAAUUGCAGAAUUCAGUGAAUCAUCGAGUCUUUGAACGCACAUUGCGCCCCCUGGUAUUCCGGGGGGCAUGCCUGUCCGAGCGUCAUUGCUGCCCUCAAGCACGGCUUGUGUGUUGGGCCUCCGUCCUCCUCCCGGGGGACGGGCCCGAAAGGCAGCGGCGGCACCGCGUCCGGUCCUCGAGCGUAUGGGGCUUCGUCACCCGCUCUUGUAGGCCCGGCCGGCGCUUGCCGACACAUCAAUCUUUUUUCCAGGUUGACCUCGGAUCAGGUAGGGAUAGCCGCUGAACUUAAGCAUAUCAAUAAGCGGAGGA